rnacentral:tRNA from 1 species
GGCAGUGUGGCUGAAUGGCUAGAGCAUUAGACUGGGAGUUGGGAGACCUGGGUGCUAUUCCUAACUCUGCCU